rnacentral:lncRNA from 1 species
UCUCCUGCCCUCCUGCCAGGUCUGGGUGUUUGUUUACAGUGUUACCUAGGACCCCGUCUGUCCCAGCUGACCCUCGGGCGUCCUCUCGGCCACUCAGCGAGAGAGCUUCCCCCCUAAACAUCCCCCUCACACUGCCAACACCCCCGCCCCACCACCACCACCCCAUCAAAACACCCUCCACUCUCCCACCCCGUCCCAUGUCAUGCCAUUGACGCAACUGACAGCUCCAGUUCCCCCCCCCCCCCCCCCCCCCCUCCCGCCUCGUUCACCUCUCCACCUCAUCUUCACCCCCUAAUAGCCCCCCCCCUCCCCUCCCCUGCCCUGGACUGGGAGCAGAUAUAGCACUGCUGUGUUCUCAUCCUCUGUCAAAGGGGGGGAAAGCAGGCAAGACAGUCCCAUAACAGUUGCUUCUCCCAACAACAGCCCCCAUAAUUUAAGAGCUGCGACUGCUGAGGUGCAGACAUCAACCAGAGGAGAGCCCGAGGGUUUCGGGUUACUCUCUCUGUGCUUCCUCUCUUUAGAGCUGGGUCUAACUCAGCCGGUUCUAGUGGCGGGUUCUGGUUCUGCCGCUGCCGCUGCCGUGUAGGCUCUGCAGUGGACUGAUGUGUGAUCAGCUCGGUGACACCGUCUCUUCACCGUGAAUCUCGCUCCACCAUGGGCAACGACAACAGCACUCCGGACGUGCCGGUAAGGGACGUGCCGUGCCCCGCCACGCUACGCUACGCCGCAAUCCUGAAAUGCCAGAAGGGGGAGCCGACUUAACCUGACCUGGGGGCCUAGCCCUGGCAGUGGCGCUAACCCGUGUGCUUGUCUCUGUGUUGACUGGUGCGCUCGCUGGAGUGAGCUAUGCUAAGUUACAGAGCUGCUGCAGUGGGCUGUUUACAUUCCCACCCUGGAGCGGCGUGUUGGUGUCAAGCUGCCCUUGAGAAGCCCUGCACGUGCACCGCUACUGGGGGAGGCAUGUGAGCGAGGGGGGGGGGGGGGGCUGUGCUGGGGAUAGGACGGGGCACUGCAGGGCUGUGCUGCUCUUUUAAAGGCAUUGUGGCUAACUGAAGCUGUGACUAGUUGCAGGUGCUGGCAUGUUUGUUUGGGUGGCGUCCAUGGCUUUGAGAGUUCUUAUUAACACGGAAGACUUGCCAGAAUGUGUUUGGGGUUAAGGAGAAAAGCAUCACGUUCACCCUGCUUAUCAGG